rnacentral:tRNA from 1 species
UGUGGCUCAGUGGUAGAGCAUUUGCAAAACCUCCGCUUGAGGUCCUGGGUUCAAUUCCCGGCA